rnacentral:rRNA from 1 species
UACAGAGGGGGCAAGCGUUGUUCGGAAUUACUGGGCGUAAAGGGCGCGUAGGCGGCCUUCUAAGUCGAACGUGAAAUCCCCGGGCUCAACCCGGGAACUGCGUCCGAUACUGGAAGGCUUGAAUCCGGGAGAGGUGAGUGGAACUGCGAGUGUAGAGGUGAAAUUCGUAGAUAUUCGCAAGAACACCAGUGGCGAAGGCGGCUCACUGGCCCGGUACUGACGCUGAGGUGCGAAAGCGUGGGGAGCAAACAGG